rnacentral:rRNA from 1 species
GAUGAACGCUGGCGGCGUGCCUAAUACAUGCAAGUCGAGCGAACGGACGAGAAGCUUGCUUCUCUGAUGUUAGCGGCGGACGGGUGAGUAACACGUGGAUAACCUACCUAUAAGACUGGGAUAACUUCGGGAAACCGGAGCUAAUACCGGAUAAUAUUUUGAACCGCAUGGUUCAAAAGUGAAAGACGGUCUUGCUGUCACUUAUAGAUGGAUCCGCGCUGCAUUAGCUAGUUGGUAAGGUAACGGCUUACCAAGGCAACGAUGCAUAGCCGACCUGAGAGGGUGAUCGGCCACACUGGAACUGAGACACGGUCCAGACUCCUACGGGAGGCAGCAGUAGGGAAUCUUCCGCAAUGGGCGAAAGCCUGACGGAGCAACGCCGCGUGAGUGAUGAAGGUCUUCGGAUCGUAAAACUCUGUUAUUAGGGAAGAACAUAUGUGUAAGUAACUGUGCACAUCUUGACGGUACCUAAUCAGAAAGCCACGGCUAACUACGUGCCAGCAGCCGCGGUAAUACGUAGGUGGCAAGCGUUAUCCGGAAUUAUUGGGCGUAAAGCGCGCGUAGGCGGUUUUUUAAGUCUGAUGUGAAAGCCCACGGCUCAACCGUGGAGGGUCAUUGGAAACUGGAAAACUUGAGUGCAGAAGAGGAAAGUGGAAUUCCAUGUGUAGCGGUGAAAUGCGCAGAGAUAUGGAGGAACACCAGUGGCGAAGGCGACAUUCUGGUCUGUAACUGACGCUGAUGUGCGAAAGCGUGGGGAUCAAACAGGAUUAGAUACCCUGGUAGUCCACGCCGUAAACGAUGAGUGCUAAGUGUUAGGGGGUUUCCGCCCCUUAGUGCUGCAGCUAACGCAUUAAGCACUCCGCCUGGGGAGUACGACCGCAAGGUUGAAACUCAAAGGAAUUGACGGGGACCCGCACAAGCGGUGGAGCAUGUGGUUUAAUUCGAAGCAACGCGAAGAACCUUACCAAAUCUUGACAUCCUUUGACAACUCUAGAGAUAGAGCCUUCCCCUUCGGGGGACAAAGUGACAGGUGGUGCAUGGUUGUCGUCAGCUCGUGUCGUGAGAUGUUGGGUUAAGUCCCGCAACGAGCGCAACCCUUAAGCUUAGUUGCCAUCAUUAAGUUGGGCACUCUAAGUUGACUGCCGGUGACAAACCGGAGGAAGGUGGGGAUGACGUCAAAUCAUCAUGCCCCUUAUGAUUUGGGCUACACACGUGCUACAAUGGACAAUACAAAGGGCAGCGAAACCGCGAGGUCAAGCAAAUCCCAUAAAGUUGUUCUCAGUUCGGAUUGUAGUCUGCAACUCGACUACAUGAAGCUGGAAUCGCUAGUAAUCGUAGAUCAGCAUGCUACGGUGAAUACGUUCCCGGGUCU